UCCUUUGGUCUCGCUUUUGCUCUUUAUCCGAACAAACCCUCCCCUCUCCACAGAAAGAGUGGGGAGGAGUGAUGGCAUCGAUCUCAGCUGCUUCUUCCUCCUCUUCCUCUCUGCUGCAUGUUUCCGCACUCGCCUUCGCUUUCCCCUUAAGAAGAACUCCUCCGACCUCCCUCGCCAUUCCUGUGAUCCGAAGGCCCCCAGUACCCUGCCGGUCCCGUCCAAGAACCCUCAAAUGCUUCUCCCAGAAGCAAUCGGUGCAAGAAUUCGAGAGGCUUUUCUCGAACCUCAAGAGGGUCCCGUCCAAGAACCCUCAAAUGCUUCUCUCAGGUAGCGUCACCAGCGGAAUCCUUCUAGUGGCUGGCACGACGGUAUGUAAUUUUCCCUUGUGCUGGCGCUUAAAUUUCCUUUUUAUUUUGAGGAAUGCAGAUUUAGCAACGCAAUGUGGGAAAUGCGAUUAGCACCAUCUGGCCCUAGUUUAAUUCUUUAGAAUGCUAAAUUUCAUUAAGAGUUCGUGAUGCUAUCAUAUGCUUUUAAUGAUGCAUUGUGAGAUCUUGUUGCACAUUCCUGCAAUGGAUCGUUAGAUAGUAGGGUUUCUUAUCAUUUUUCCAAUAAUGCCAUAGGUUGGUGCACGUAUCCUUGAAAUUCCUGCAGUUACUCAAGAAGCAGGAUUUUUGGCCUCUGCAAUAACAUGCAUUCUCUGCUUGAUACUGGACGGUAUUUUGUAUUUAUAAAUAAUAAAUAAAUACAUAUAAUAUAUAUAUAUAUAUAAAUAGAUAUAUAAAUAAAAGAUUAUAUAUAUAUAUAGAGGCGACGUCGUCAAAAUUUUUUUUUACUUAUAUAUAUAUAUAUAUAUAUACCGAAUGGUAUAUCGCUCGGUAUACAGUACCAUAUCGUACCGAAAGAAUAUCGAAACUCCAGUAUGGUAUGAUAUUUCAAUCCUUGAAUAGAAUAUUAAGGAAUGGGCAAAUUACUAGUGCCACCCUAUUACAGGUUAUGAAAACGCCACCAAGGAACCUUCUCAGAGGUGCAUUUUUCUACAUGAAUAUAUGGUGUUGUGUUUGUUUCUUCUGUUCAUCUGAAUUCAUCUUCCUUGUAGUGUCAUGUCAUUAAAGGGAGGUAUGGUAAUUUGCCCCUGCAAUACAUUUUUUAACGUGAAUUGAGCUUUUGUGCAGUUAGGCUCACUUUAAAUUUGGGUUGUGACAGGAUUGUUGAUUGCAGAAGUAAAUGUAAAUACAAUGUGUGAACUUGGCUCUGGAGGUGUCUCAUUGGUAAGACACUUGAAGACAAAUUUUCCUUCAAUCUAAAUUUUCUUGUAGUGCCUUUGUUUUCUUCUUCAAUUUGUUUGUUGGAACUAUGUAGGAAUUGAUAUGCCAUGUCCUAAGCCUUUUAUCAUUUGCUUGCAUUAACUUUUACUAGGUAACAUUCUCUAUCUUAUUUAUCUUGCAAAUUGUUACCCACUAGACUCCUUUAUUGUACACAUAUAGACACAUGUAGAGGACUCGGAUAAUAAGCAUCUAAUUCAGGAAGAAGGGAAAAAGAAGGCUAGGGUAUAUAAUUAAUUACUUAAUGCAAUAUACUGCUGUCAUAUUACUUCAAAUCAUCAAACAUAAAUUAUUGCCAAUAUUCCGAUUAUCUAUUGAAAAUUACACUGGGUUUUUCUAGUUUAGUUCAAGUGGAUUCUAUGUGAGCAGUCAAUGUUCCGAGUUAAUAAGAAGGAACUCAACUAAACAACAAUGAAGACUAACGAGGUCUCAAUGGCAAUGAGAACACUUGGAAAUUUUGGGGUUCAAGCUGCCUGCUGGUCCUACAUAUUUAUACAUUAUGCACUCCUUGUUGCAUAUGUGGCUCACUCUUCAGAGAUUUUGACAAAUACCUUCAGCAUUCCACUCCAGCGAGUUAUAGGUGCAAUAAAUGGGUUUCUGGUGCUUGGCAUCGUUGUGUCUUUUACAUCUCUUGUGAACACAUGGGACUUAAAUGCUUAGACAAUGAUUUAAAAUAUGCCAGCAAGCUUAUCAUUCAAAAGUCAGGACUAAUAUGGCUCAGUAUUAAUUGGACUAUGAUUUAUGUUGGGAGUCGCAUCUGGAGGUUUGCAGUGGCAAUCUCUUCGUCAGGCCCAUUUUGAGGCAAUCCCACAAAGUAUACCUAUAAUUGCUCUUUCUUUUGUUUAUCAGAAUGUAGUUCCAGUUCUUUGUACAAACCUUGAAGGUGACCUGUCAAAAGUAAGAGGCUUUGAUAUCACAGGACUGCAGUUGUUCUUGGCACAGCUAUUCCCCUUGUUCUGUUUCUUAUUUGGGAUGCUGUAAUUCUUGGGACCAUUCCAAAUCUAUAUACAACUGGUGCCCUCACCGACCCACUGCAGCAGCUACAUUAUGAAAAUGGAAUAGUUGGAAUAAGCCGAUUGUUGAGGUGUUCUCAUUUUUUGCAAUAGCAACAUCAUACAUUGGAUUUGUUCUUGGACUUUCUGACUUUGUUUCCGACUGAAACUUGCAGUGCUUAAACUACCUAGUGGCCAGAGUAAACCCUUGCCAUACUUGCUAACUCACCACUGGUGCUGUCAUUGCUUGAUCCAGAGAUAUUUUUUAAAGCUUUGGACUUCGCAGGAACAUAUGGAGGUAAACUGUCUGUAUUUUUUUUCUUUAAGUGUUGCAAGCACAAGUAUAACAUCGACAAUGCAAUGCAUAAAUCCUAGUUCCAGAGGAAAAAGUAAAAUUUAGAAUUAUAGUCCAUCAGCCUUUUUUUAGCCAUUUGAUUCUCCAAUAAGUUCUCAGACUUCAGCUAAAUCUGUGUGUCAGACUUCAACUAAAGGCUCAUGCAACUACUAUUUCAACUUUCUGGAGUUGAUCUAAGUAAUAAGCAUGCAAGGAAGUUUAUCUUUCAUCAAAGACACAUUUUCUUUCUUGAAGAAAAAAAUUGAUCCUUCUUAUAUCUAACCUAUAAACUGUGAUGCAAUUUCUAUCAUGUUAAAGUCUUGUAAUCGGCAUACAUUUACUCCAGGAUUUUGACAGUGGUCUAUGUUCAUGCAUUUUUAGAUGUUGACAAGGUUUCUAAAGCACUAAUUAUUCAUUCACUCAUGCAUUAUUCAUAAUGAAGAUACUGCUUCAAGUGUCUGUUCUACAUCCAGUUCUGGUGCUCUUUGGAGUGCUUCCUGCUGCAAUGUCUUAGUCGGAGAGAUACUCAAAGUCAUCUCUAACCCCAAUUACUCCCCCGCUGGUACCUGGAGGCAGAUCUACACUAAUCAUUGUCACUGGAGGUGCCUUAUUUGUUAUCUUCUCAGAGAUUCUAAAGGCUGUUAUGCACCAGUAGAGUCACCUGCAUCAGCAGUAGAGCAAAUCUGAACUCACUUCAUAGGUUUCACUUGGGUCCUAUGAAAAACCCUCAUUAUGUAUAGAGAAUUUAAUGAGUCUGAUAAAAUAACAACUGAGAUACAGUCUGCUUUCUCUUCAACUGCAUGGAUGUAGCUAUUUGGAAAGUGGUAACAAUUCUCAGAAACAAGCUUCAUUAUAUUCUCCUUGUUCUUGUUCAAAACUCUGGGGAAAAUGAGAGAGAGCUACCGAUCACACAAGCUUAAACUGGUUUCUACUCCUCCUUGUGGCCAAUGUUUUUUUUUCUGUAUUAUAGGUGUAGCUGGUUGUGCUAGUUGAAAGCCAGAGACAGGAAGUCAAAUUUGGGAAGGAGAAUACGAGCAAUAUAUUAUUGGAACCUAAUUCUAAUGUUGUCAAUGAUGAAUAUUUAUUGUUUAGCUUUCCCCAAAACCAGAAUUCUCCAUUCAUUCUGCCUUGCUACUUUGUUGAUGUACAGGAACACCUUCAUCAACCUCGGCAUAGAUUUAGCUGAAGCUAAUAGGGUAAACAGGUUGCUUAUUGGGAUGAAACAUGCCAAACUUCUGUUCAAUCCCUGAAGCUUUCUGGUUCUCAUCAAACAUCUCAUAUAAAUGCUGCAGUUCCACCUGCCGACGGCCAGCCGCUCUCAGACACGACGAUCGCCACAUGCGACCCUUCCACCUCUAUAGCUGCAUGGACUGCGUCGACGAUCGCAUCGAAGAGGUUCCGGUAGCCGAACUGCCCGUCCUG